rnacentral:rRNA from 1 species
AUGGAUCACAACCCACAGAUCGUUUGCUGGAAUGUGAGAGGAUUAAACAACCCAGCCAAGAGGAAAGUAGUUAGAGAGUUCUUCGCUUCGUUGAAAGUCAAAGUAGUGUGUCUCUAGGAGACCAAGUUGGAGAUCGUGGACCAGUUCAUAGUAAUGCAAUGUCUCGGACCAUAUUUUGAUGGGUUCGCUUACUUGCCUGCGAGUGAGACGCGUGGUGGUAUUUUACUUGCAUGGGACUCGACCUGCGUGAACGUCGACCACCUACAGUACGAUGCCAACUUCCUCACCGGCAAAGUUCGGCAACUUGAUGGCACCGAAUGGUGGAUCUCCGUGGUGUACGCACCCCAGGGUGACGAGCUUAAAACAUAG